CCGAGUUAGGGUCCUCUGGGCCCGAAUCUCCAACCCUCUGUAUAUCUACCUCAUGUUGCUUUGGCGGGCCGCUGGGCCUGGCCCACCGUCGGCUUCGGCUGGCGCGCGCCCGCCAGAGACCAUCUCAAACUCAUGUUUAUCAAUGUCGUCUGAGUACUAUAUAAAUAGUUA
rnacentral:misc_RNA from 1 species